AAAUUACUAAGGGAUUAAAGAGAAGUGGUAUUGGAAAAUGUUGCGUUAAGGAAUGCAAAUGUUGGUUGAGAGAUUACUUGGGAACGGAAUAGUCGUGUUGGGAUUCAACUCAAUGAUUGAAGAUAUGUGAGAAAAGGAAUUUGACGGUUAGAGACGGUAGUUUUUAACAUGUGUCAAUGAAGUUUGAGAAUGUUGGUCAUCAAGUGAUUGUUGGAAUUGAAAUAUCGAG
rnacentral:lncRNA from 1 species